rnacentral:rRNA from 1 species
CCGCCGGCGACCGGCGCACGGGUGAGUAACACGUAUGCAACCUGGCCGUGACAGAUGGAUAACCGGGAGAAAUCCCGCCUAAUACAACAUAAUGCCGGGAGGGGACAUCCCCUGCCGGCCAAAGGGGCGACCCCGGUCACGGAUGGGCAUGCGGCGCAUUAGGUAGUUGGUGGGGCAACGGCCCACCAAGCCGACGACGCGUAGGGGUUCUGAGAGGAAGGUCCCCCACACUGGUACUGAGACACGGACCAGACUCCUACGGGAGGCAGCAG